GCAACGAUAACCAGAACGAGCCACCGGAAGUGUGUUGACCGAUUAUUCACAUUCAGUUCAUAUUAAUUACUUUUAUUACAUUUUAUUAGUGUCACUAAUUCAUGCAUAAUUUUAAUAAUAAAUCUAAAAUAUAAAAACGGACUAAAGAAACGUCUGAUGUCAGCAGUUUAUUGCAGUUGGUGAAUGACAGAACGUGGUCACGUGUCGCCAUAGAAACGCACCAAUUUGACUGAGACGAACGGACGGGAGCAACUACCCCGCUAAUUACCCGACAUAAUUGUUAUAUUUAUAUUAUUAGUUCUGAUGUAUGUUUGUUUGCUGCCGUUUCAACAGUAACAUGUAUUCAUCCGAGUCUGACUCCGAAGUUCUGCCCGAAGAUAACGAGGAAGGAAAACUAUAUCAAUUGAUUUAUGAACUGACCACAGACGACAAGGACCAAAAUGAGGAGGUUCAAAUCCCGUCCAGCUCCAGGAAGUCGCCUGUGGACGUCCGCGCAGACGGGACGGUCGAAAACCUGACGGUUCCGUUCACAAAACGUCACACAACCACAGGCAGAAGCCAGAGAGACAACUCAUGGGUUAAUGACAGGACGAGGGGACACCACAUGCACACGUGGGUCACCAGAGGAGUCUCCGGCCAGCCCUGGGGGAGAGGCCC